rnacentral:tRNA from 1 species
GCGAGAGUGGCGGAAUCGGUAGACGCAGUCGACUCAAAAUCGACCGCCGAAAGGCUUGGGGGUUCGAGUCCCCCCUCUCGCACCA